rnacentral:rRNA from 1 species
UUUUAUUAGAAAUAAUUAAUAAUAUAAUCUGCUCAAUGAUCUUUAAAUAGCCGCAAUUUCGUGCUAAGGUAGCAUAAUAAUUUGUCUUUUAAAUAAAGACUAGAAUGAAUGAUUGAACACUUUAAAUAAUAUCUUUAAUACACUUUAUUAAACUUCUUAUAAAUGUAAAAAAACAUUUAUCAAAAAGGAAGACGACAAGACCCUAUCAAACUUAACUAUAGUUAAACUGGGGUAGUUAAAUAAUUAAUAUUUUAAUUAAAAACAACAAACAUAUGAUCUAAUAUCAUUAAAUAAAAGAACAAGUUACUGUAGGGAUAACAGCAUAAUAAUUUUUAAAAGAUCUCAUUAAAAAAAAAGAUUGUGACCUCGAUGUUGAAUAAUAAUCCUACUUCAAUGCAAAAGUUAAAGUAGGGAGUCUGUUCGACUCUUAAAUUAUUACA